UACAGAGGUCUCAAGCGUUGUUCGGAUUCAUUGGGCGUAAAGGGUGCGUAGGCGGCGCGGUAAGUCGGGUGUGAAAUCUCGGGGCUUAACUCCGAAACUGCAUUCGAUACUGCCGUGCUUGAGGACUGGAGAGGAGACUGGAAUUCCUGGUGUAGCGGUGAAAUGCGCAGAUAUCAGGAGGAACACCGAUGGCGAAGGCAGGUCUCUGGGCCACUACUGACGCUGAGAAGCGAAAGCAUGGGGAGCGAACAGG
rnacentral:rRNA from 1 species